UGAACGCUAGCGGCAGGCUAACACAUGCAAGUCAGGGGCAGCGGGAUGUAGCAAUACAUUGCCGGCGACCGGCGGAUGGGUGCGUAACGCGUAUGCAACCUACCUUAUACAGGGGAAUAACCUUUCGAAAGGGAGACUAACACCCCAUAGUAUUGAUUUAAGGCAUCUUAGAUUAAUUAAAUAUUUAUAGGUAUAAGAUGGGCAUGCGUAUGAUUAGCUAGUCGGUAAGGUAACGGCUUACCAAGGCGACGAUCAUUAGGGGUUCUGAGAGGAAGGUCCCCCACACUGGUACUGAGACACGGACCAGACUCCUACGGGAGGCAGCAGUGAGGAAUAUUGGUCAAUGGGCGCAAGCCUGAACCAGCCAUGCCGCGUGCAGGAAAAGACGGCCUUAUGGGUUGUAAACUGCUUUUACAUAAGACUAACCGUAUAUUUGCGAAUAUACCUGAAUGUAUUAUGAGAAUAAGGAUCGGCUAACUCCGUGCCAGCAGCCGC
rnacentral:rRNA from 1 species